GGGAAUCAAAGUCGCUGAAUCGCGAAUGAGUAAAUCGAACUAUUGUGAGGAAUCGAUUCUCGGGGCUUUCCGAGUUUCAGUUGAAGACUCAGCUGAUUCACAGCGAGGCUACCUGGGUCCUCUCUACCUGAUGGAGGUUGAUUUUGUGGGCGUGGCCACGGCGUUGGUUGCCGUGGCAACGGCGGCUGCCUUUCUCAUCUGGUACCAGCGUCGCCAUGGCAACCGCUCUGGCCUGUCCCACCGUGCCCACCGUGAGCCCACCACGGCCUUCCUGGACCUCUGGGAAUCUCUCUCUGUCUGUGUGUC